rnacentral:rRNA from 2 species
GGAGGUUGUGCCCUUGAGGCGUGGCUUCCGGAGCUAACGCGUUAAGUCGACCGCCUGGGGAGUACGGCCGCAAGGUUAAAACUCAAAUGAAUUGACGGGGGCCCGCACAAGCGGUGGAGCAUGUGGUUUAAUUCGAUGCAACGCGAAGAACCUUACCUGGUCUUGACAUCCACAGAACUUUCCAGAGAUGGAUUGGUGCCUUCGGGAACUGUGAGACAGGUGCUGCAUGGCUGUCGUCAGCUCGUGUUGUGAAAUGUUGGGUUAAGUCCCGCAACGAGCGCAACCCUUAUCCUUUGUUGCCAGCGGUCCGGCCGGGAACUCAAAGGAGACUGCCAGUGAUAAACUGGAGGAAGGUGGGGAUGACGUCAAGUCAUCAUGGCCCUUACGACCAGGGCUACACACGUGCUACAAUGGCGCAUACAAAGAGAAGCGACCUCGCGAGAGCAAGCGGACCUCAUAAAGUGCGUCGUAGUCCGGAUUGGAGUCUGCAACUCGACUCCAUGAAGUCGGAAUCGCUAGUAAUCGUGGAUCAGAAUGCCACGGUGAAUACGUUCCCGGGCCUUGUACACACCGCCCGUCACACCAUGGGAGUGGGUUGCAAAAGAAGUAGGUAGCUUAACCUUCGGGAGGGCGCUUACCACUUUGUGAUUCAUGACUGGGGUGAAGUCGUAACAAGGUAACCGUAGGGGAACCUGCGGUUG